UGUGUCUNUGUGCAAAGGUAGCAUAAUCAUUAGUCUUGUAAUUUAAGACUGGGAUGAAGGAGAGAAUUAGAGGGACACUUUCUUGAGCCUGUACAAUNAAUNUNACUUUUUAGUAAAAAGGCUAGAAUUAUUUUUUUAGACAAGAANNCCCUAUANAGCUUUACAAUAAGGAAAUUNUAGAAAUUUCAUCCUGUUUUGCUGGGGCGGUAGGAAAGUAGACGUUUCUUAAAAGAAUUGACUUAAAUGUUAUAAUANCCAAAAAUUUUGAAUUAUAAANAAGUUACUUNAGGGAUAACAGCGUAAUUCANUUUUAAAGCUCUNAUNGACAAAUNAGUUUGCGACCUCGAUGAGGGAUUAAAGUUCCUCUCUCUANGCAUAAGUAGGAUUAGGAGGUCGUNGC
rnacentral:rRNA from 1 species